rfam:Neotoma lepida isolate 417 scaffold_678, whole genome shotgun sequence.
ACUUUUAUAGGGUAGUAGUAAUCCAUUGGUCUUAGGAGCCAAAAACUUGGUGCAACUCCAAAUGAAAGAA